UAGCCGAGUGGCUAGGGUGUUGGGUGAAUCCCAUUCCAAAGGUUUUGGGGUUCGAACCCCAAUGUCC